GUUAAAAGUAAAGGUCUGCGCUCUCCUGUGACCAUGUCGGCAGUAGAAGCUCUUAUGGCUUCUAGCCUCCUGCCGUAUGAUGUGAUCAACCUUAUGUGUGUCAUCCUUGAACCUGUACAAUAUGCCCUGUGAUAUGAUGAGUGCAAUCGGCCACUUCACCAUUCCACACGUGCCUUAUAGGGGUACCUUUGAAUUUUUCUACUGAUAGGUUGCUGUUUUUGGGAUAUGUAGAUAACAUAACUGCUUGCGAAAAGUACUUUACUUCAGGUGCUAAUAUUUCGGCUUGCCUGAUCCGCAUGCUGAAUACAUCACUUUCGUGGGACCCCCCUGAAUUGCUGCUUAUGGGUUCUCAGAGCGUAGGUAAUAAUUCAGAGGGAUGCAUAUGUUUUGAACAAUUUGCCUUACAAGGAUCGCUUUCCCAACGUGGGAUUGCGCAGGAUCUCCUUAAGAGGGGUAGGCCUUUGUUGUGGGACUCCAGCCGUAAUAGAACCAUCCCACACACGCUUGUUAACCCGCUGAACAGUGCGGUGUUCAGGUGGUCUGGCCCGUACUGUGGGUACGUGGUAAAUCGUACUCGGCAGUGGUAUCAUCUCAAAACCGCGAAUGGGUGGAAAGGUUCCCUGUGUAACAAUUGUACAUUGCCAGAGCAGUGGUGCAAUAUCACCACGAGUGACUGUUGCUGCAACAUCACACAAUCUUGGCCGCAGGAUAGGCUCAGUACUACCUGCCAGAUGGAAGCACUAUUCAGAUCGGCUCUGCCCGCUUUCGUGCCCCGGAGCUCUUGUUCCGGCCAGACCUGAUAGGGGAAGAAUGUGAAGGACUCCACGAGGUGCUCGUUUUUGCCAUUCAAAAAUCAGACGUGGGUUUGAGGCGAACACUUUUCUCCAACAUUGUGCUGUCUGGUGGCUCCACACUUUUCAAAGAUAUCAGCUCCUCAGGAGAGAUUGUAUUCUACGUGGAUUGGUGGCUCUAUUCUGGCCUCGCUGGAUACUUUUAAGAAAAUGUGGGUUUCAAAAAAGGCAUAUGAAGAAGAUGGAGCUCGUGCCAUCCACCGAAAAACCUUCUAGCCCUGGGACCUAUCCUCAGUCUCCUCUGAAGACUCACUUCAGUUCUAAACUCGCUUUUCUGAGUCCGAGAGUCUGAGAGCUGCCUGUAUGUGUGUGUGUGCGCCAGCAUGCCCCGACGUCACUGAGCAAAGACAACAGCAGCAGGAGGGUUGGAUUAGUACUAACUACUUAUUUUUGUUGUUGUUGUUGUUAUUUUUUUAAUGGA